rnacentral:rRNA from 1 species
ACAGAGGGUGCGAGCGUUACUCGGAAUUACUGGGCGUAAAGCGUGCGUAGUCGGCUAUCUAAGUCGGGUGUGAAAGCCCCGGGCUCAACCUGGGAAUUGCAUUCGAGACUGAAUAGCUUGAGCACGGUAGAGGCACAUGGAAUUCCGGGUGUAGCGGUGGAAUGCGUAGAGAUCCGGAGGAACACCGGUGGCGAAGGCGGUGUGCUGGGCCGUUGCUGACGCUGAUGCGCGACAGCGUGGGGAGCAAACAGG